CCUACAUAAGAUUGCCUGAUCUUUUCCAGAAGCAUGGGGUUUUUGCUUUAUAUCCCUGCUCCACAAUCUGACAGAGGAAAGAUUUGAACUUUUAUCUCUGACAUUCAAAGGUUCAGAGACAAUUUAUAUGCUUUCUGAAUUACACACCUGCUUUGUCUCCUCGUGGGCCAUCUCCACUAUGAUAUGUGAAGUCACCAGAAGAAAACUUGCCCAGAAGAGACUGGAGAAGUAAUUCAAAAGAUGCCUGACUUUCUUCGUGCAUUUGAAAAUCUGUCAGACUGAACAAGGGUACACUUUGAAUAUGACACAGAGGGAAUAACCUAACAGCUUCAAAAGAUCUCGGCUAAAUGUGCAACAAAAUCUCCACAAGGAUUGGCU